rnacentral:rRNA from 1 species
CCCGAGUGCUUGCACUCAAUUGGAAAGAGGAGUGGCGGACGGGUGAGUAACACGUGGGUAACCUACCCAUCAGAGGGGGAUAACACUUGGAAACAGGUGCUAAUACCGCAUAACAGUUUAUGCCGCAUGGCAUAAGAGUGAAAGGCGCUUUCGGGUGUCGCUGAUGGAUGGACCCGCGGUGCAUUAGCUAGUUGGUGAGGUAACGGCUCACCAAGGCCGCGAUGCAUAGCCGACCUGAGAGGGUGAUCGGCCACACUGGGACUGAGACACGGCCCAGACUCCUACGGGAGGCAGCAGUAGGGAAUCUUCGGCAAUGGACGAAAGUCUGACCGAGCAACGCCGCGUGAGUGAAGAAGGUUUUCGGAUCGUAAAACUCUGUUGUUAGAGAAGAACAAGGACGUUAGUAACUGAACGUCCCCUGACGGUAUCUAACCAGAAAGCCACGGCUAACUACGUGCCAGCAGCCGCGGUAAUACGUAGGUGGCAAGCGUUGUCCGGAUUUAUUGGGCGUAAAGCGAGCGCAGGCGGUUUCUUAAGUCUGAUGUGAAAGCCCCCGGCUCAACCGGGGAGGGUCAUUGGAAACUGGGAGACUUGAGUGCAGAAGAGGAGAGUGGAAUUCCAUGUGUAGCGGUGAAAUGCGUAGAUAUAUGGAGGAACACCAGUGGCGAA